GGCUCAGGAUGAACGCUGGCGGCGUGCCUAACACAUGCAAGUCGAGCGUGAUUCUGGGGAUUGGCGGCUUCGGCCAAAGAGAACCAGAUGAAAGCGGCGGACGGGUGAGUAACGCGUGGGCAACCUGCCCCAUACACGGGAAUAGCCACUGGAAACGGUGAUUAAUACCCGAUAAGACCACGACACCUCAUGGUGAUGUGGCCAAAGAUUUAUCGGUAUGGGAUGGGCCCGCGUCUGAUUAGCUAGUUGGUGAGGUAACGGCUCACCAAGGCGACGAUCAGUAACCGACCUGAGAGGGCGGACGGUCACACUGGAACUGAGACACGGUCCAGACUCCUACGGGAGGCAGCAGUGGGGAAUAUUGCACAAUGGGCGCAAGCCUGAUGCAGCAACGCCGCGUGAGUGAAGAAGGCCUUCGGGUCGUAAAGCUCUGUCCUGUGGGACGAAACAAAUGACGGUACCACAGGAGGAAGCCCCGGCUAACUACGUG
rnacentral:rRNA from 1 species